UCCCAUAUGGUCUAGUGGUUAGGAUUCGGCGCUUUCACCGCCAAGGCCCGGGUUCAAUUCCCGGUGUGAGAA
rnacentral:tRNA from 1 species